rnacentral:lncRNA from 1 species
CGGGACCUUGAACUCUGACCAGGCCAGGGACUUCGACCUCGCCUUGAAGGAGCGGUUCUACCUGCAGCCGCUGCCGCCGGCGGAAGCCGCGGCGAGGGCCAAGUCGUCGGCGCAGGACAUCCUCAACCUCAAGCCGCUCAUCGACAAGAAGGCGUGGCCGUACGUCAUGAACGACCUCCGCCUCCGAGCCUCCUACCUGCGCUACGACCUCAACACCGUCAUCGCCUCCAAACCCAAGGAUGAGAAGAAGAGCCUCAAGGAGCUCACCGGCAAGCUCUUCAGCACCAUCGACGAUGUAAGCCAUGCUGCCAUUGAACUGAGAACAAUUGGCCAAUAACUUUUUUUCUCACUUUUUCACCAUAGCUAUGGAAAUAACAUGUAAGCUUCUCUUCUCAUUUUGGCAGCUUGACCAUGCGGCAAAGAUCAAGAGCACCCCGGAGGCUGAGAAAUCCUUCGCGGCGACCAAAUCCGCGCUCGAUGAUGUUUUCGCCAAGCUAGGCUAGAUGGAAUAUGAUGGGCUGAUGGCCAUGUAAUUUCAGACUUUUGUGUUUGUUCAUAUGGAGCCGGCAAUGU